UUCUUCACUGCGUCUCUCUCCUCUCUCAUCUUCUUCACGUCUCUCUUAUCUCUCCUCUCUCCUCUCUCCUCUCUCCUCUCUCAUAUCUCAUCUUCUUCACGAUUCUCUUGAUCUGCAUCAAUUUUUCUCUCAAAUUUUCAUUGCUAAUUCUUUCGUUAAUGUUAUAUUGAUUUCUUUGAUGAUUUUUUUGGUUUAGUUGAUCUGAAAUUGAGUAAUUUUAUGGUUGCCUGUGAACUUAGGGUUUCGUGUAAUUUUGGAGAUGAACAAAGAUCGACCAUCUGCUCCUCUUGAUUUCUUCAUCUGCAAUGUUGAGGAUUGCAGGCCUCCUGUUUUGUUCAUCAUUCCUCUCACCUUUGUUGAAUCUCUUAGAUCUGCCGUUUUUCAACGGCUUCCACUACAGAACAAGCUGAACGCUAUGAUGGUUUGAUGGAUUCCCAAUUAGGGUCAUCUGGUGCCAAAUGCACCUUAAUUGCAGGGAGUAGAAAGAUGUCCAGCAGGGUUAUGAUGUGUAUUAUAAUAUUUCAAAGCUUUCCCCAGAAGUAGUUACUGUUCUAACCAGUGAAGGAGGAUGUUCCAGUUGAUCAAUCAGGUGAUGAACCUUCAGUGGAAGAGGAUGAGUGCAAUGAUCAUUCAUAUGUUCUCAAAGAUGAUAUAGGCUAUGUAUGCCACGUUUGCGGCGUCAUUCAAAGGGCAAUUGAGACUAUAUUUGAUUACCAGUACAUAAAGAUUCAAAGGAACAACUAUGUGUGUGUGAUUUAGAUUGUUUCUGCACCCCUGUUGCCUGUUGGUAUUUUCAUGGACCUUGUUGCUUUUCUCCACAUUCUCUCCCCUGCCUUUCCACCUCGAUACUAUGGGGCUUUCCCACAAGCCAAUCUCUCAUAUCAAGACAUUGGAGCUCUUACAAAGAGAGCACAAGAUGGAGGAUUAGAGGUCGUGAAUGCAAAGGCUGGAAAGGGUUUAGCAACAUUGUCUAUUGCAUAUAUUCAGCUGGAAGAACUUCAAACGGAUGUUUGCAGAUGAUGUAAGAAUAGUUUCAUCACUGCCUUCAACCGUUGUUGAUGGACCAGCUAAAGAGAAUCAAACUCCUUUUGAAGCCAGACCACAUUCAUUAGAUCCGCCAACACUACCUUGGACGGGUGAAGGGAUGGGUCUGAAAGAGUAGAAUAUCAAGAAGUCUUGAAAGCCCAAAUGACAGCUGUCAUUUCAUAUCUGAUAAAGUAGAGAGUAGAAAAGGAAGGGAAGAUAGUGAUGAGUCCUAACAGAAUUUCAGGGUUCUUAAAAAGGAAGGGAAAGUUGAGUAUAUCAUUGUCUUGCAUUGCCUUUUCUCUGUAAUUAUAUUUUUUGGUUCCUAGAAGAGGAAAGAGAUCUUUAGUUGCAGAAACCUUUCUUCAUCCCUUGUUUAUUGUAUUUGAAUUUAUGAUUAACUCAUCAGUCUACAAGUGCUUCUUCAAAGUUGUUUUUAUUA